GACGAACGCUGGCGGCGUGCUUAACACAUGCAAGUCGAACGGAAAGGCCCUGCUUUUGUGGGGUGCUCGAGUGGCGAACGGGUGAGUAACACGUGAGUAACCUGCCCUUGACUUUGGGAUAACUUCAGGAAACUGGGGCUAAUACCGGAUAGGAGCUCCUGCUGCAUGGUGGGGGUUGGAAAGUUUCGGCGGUUGGGGAUGGACUCGCGGCUUAUCAGCUUGUUGGUGGGGUAGUGGCCUACCAAGGCUUUGACGGGUAGCCGGCCUGAGAGGGUGACCGGCCACAUUGGGACUGAGAUACGGCCCAGACUCCUACGGGAGGCAGCAGUGGGGAAUAUUGCACAAUGGGCGGAAGCCUGAUGCAGCAACGCCGCGUGCGGGGUGACGGCCUUCGGGUUGUAAACCGCUUUCGCCUGUGACGAAGCGUGAGUGACGGUAAUGGGUAAAGAAGCACCGGCUAACUACGUGCCAGCAGCCGCGGUGAUACGUAGGGUGCGAGCGUUGUCCGGAUUUAUUGGGCGUAAAGGGCUCGUAGGUGGUUGAUCGCGUCGGAAGUGUAAUCUUGGGGCUUAACCCUGAGCGUGCUUUCGAUACGGGUUGACUUGAGGAAGGUAGGGGAGAAUGGAAUUCCUGGUGGAGCAGUGGAAUGCGCAGAUAUCAGGAGGAACACCAGUGGCGAAGGCGGUUCUCUGGGCCUUUCCUGACGCUGAGGAGCGAAAGCGUGGGGAGCGAACAGGCUUAGAUACCCUGGUAGUCCACGCUGUAAACGGUGGGUACUAGGUGUGGGGUCCAUUCCACGGGUUCCGUGCCGUAGCUAACGCUUUAAGUACCCCGCCUGGGGAGUACGGCCGCAAGGCCAAAACUCAAAGGAAUUGACGGGGCCCCGCACAAGCGGCGGAGCAUGCGGAUUAAUUCGAUGCAACGCGUAGAACCUUACCUGGGUUUGACAUGGAUCGGGAGUGCUCAGAGAUGGGUGUGCCUCUUUUGGGGUCGGUUCACAGGUGGUGCAUGGCUGUCGUCAGCUCGUGUCGUGGGAUGUUGGGUUAAGUCCUGCAACGAGCGCAACCCUUGUUCACUGUUGCCAGCACGUUAUGGUGGGGACUCAGUGGAGACCGCCGGGGUCAACUCGGAGGAAGGUGGGGAUGACGUCAAGUCAUCAUGCCCCUUAUGUCCAGGGCUUCACGCAUGCUACAAUGGCUGGUACAGAGAGUGGCGAGCCUGUGAGGGUGAGCGAAUCUCGGAAAGCCGGUCUCAGUUCGGAUUGGGGUCUGCAACUCGACCUCAUGAAGUCGGAGUCGCUAGUAAUCGCAGAUCAGCAACGCUGCGGUGAAUACGUUCCCGGG
rnacentral:rRNA from 1 species